CAUGCAAUGACCAAGAUCAAGCAAAUCAUUUAAAAUAGCUUGACUAAAUGAAAGUGAAAAGUGAAAGUGACAUGGCAUACAGCCAAGUAUGGUGACCCAUACUCAGAAUUCGUGCUCUGCAUUUAACCCAUCCAAAGUGCACACACACAGCAGUGAACACACACACACCGUGAACACACACCCGGUGCAGUGGGCAGCCAUUUAUGCUGCGGCGCCCGGGGAGCAGUUGGCGGUUCGGUGCCUUGCUCAAGGACACCUCAGUCAUGGUAUUGCUGGCUGAGACUCGAACCCACAACCUUAGGGUUAGGAGUCAAACUCUCUAACCAUUAGGCCACGACUUCCCCUUUCUGUAAGCGUCUCGGGUGUGUUUCAGGGUUUUGGUUGCUGUGGAGCGUCCUCAUCCUGUUCAGCUGCUGCUGCGCGUAUCGUCACCGGCAGGCGAAGCAGCGUGUCCAGCAGCAGCAGAGACAGAGGGAGAUCAACCUCAUGGCUUAUCACGGAGCCUGCAGUUACCCGUCCUCCAUGUUUGACCUCAGUUUCCUCGCCUCACUCAAACUGCCGUCCUAUGAGGAAGUAGCAGCCCAACCUAGCACCCCGCCCCCUCCCUACAGCUCCGUUGCCUACCCACGAGGCUCCGCCCACCCCGGCCCGAGUCACAUGCUGUCAUCACAGAGCUCUGACAACUACACCAGCUGCUCCUGCGACUCCUGCUGUCCGUCAUCGCCCUGUAGCUCCUCCCCUUCUUCGGCCCAACUCACAGAUGAAACUGAUACUAGCCACGCCUCCACGCCCUCCCUCAGCGAGCCUGGCCACACCCACUCAGCGGUCAUGCACACCGAGUGUGUCCCAAUACUGCCAAUCAACAAAGGCGACGAAUCGCCAACACGAAGCACAGACGAGGUCGUGGAGGCGGAGCUUCCAAGCUCCGCCCCUCUGGAUUCCAAUGGGAACAACAAAUCAGUGAAAAACAUCACUAGUAGCACAGAUAACGUUACUGAAAUAGUAGAUGCAUCCCAAACUAUUAGUACUAACAAUAUCUGUGAUGCAAACAGCGCUAAUAACAUUAACAGUCCAAAUUCAACGAAUAUCACCAGCCUUUGUCAUCCGACUCCACCAUCCUCCUCAUCAUCUCUCCAGCUCUUCUCCAUGUCUGACCCACUUGGUGUUUGCCCAGAGCAGCAGAAUAACGAAGCUCAGAGGGAGGAGCCUGCACAGGCCCCGCCCCCUCAGUCUCCGCCCAGGAACACUCUCUUUUCUCCCGGCAUUGAACCGGAGCGCCGCGAUUCUGCCGUGAGUGAUCUGGACGUGGACCAAACACACUUCCAGCAGCGACGACUGACCGGCGACUCUGGCAUUGAGGUCUGCCGCUGCCGUGUAGAACCUGAAGAGGAGGAGGAUGAUGAUGAAGAAGAAGGAGGAGGAGGAGCACACUUACCGGCAGAGUCGGCCAAUGGAACGGGAGACGCUCUUCAUGAUAGUCCUGACUGUUCUGCCAGAGCCAGACCGGAUGGGAGCGGGAAAGAUGCGUGGCCUGUUUCAUAUGUGGCUCCACCCACUGAUGCAGUCGUCAUCGCAAUGGAAACUGACUGAGAGUGACGUUAAUAGCACGCAGAUCUGAGAGAAACCCUGUACAGACUGAUGUUAGAAGACACACAUGAAUCUGCGACCUCAUCUUUGGUUCUAAGGGUCAAACAAUACCAAAAGUUUGGAAUUAUUAAAAUUUUUCUCUGUUUUUGAAAAAAGUCUCUUCUCCUCACCAAGGCUGCAUUUAUUUGAUCAAAAAUACAGUAAUUUUUUAAAAAUAUUAUUACAAUUUAAAAUAGCUGUUUUCUAUUCAUCUGUGAAUCCUGAAAAAUAAAAUGUAUCACGGUUUCCA
ensembl:lncRNA